rnacentral:lncRNA from 1 species
CCCUAUCCGCUCUCAGCUUGCUUACCGGACUUCAGACUUGACUUUACUUGCCUCUUUUCCUUGGGCGGGACUAUUCAUAAUGCAGCUAAGCCGAGGACUUUCUUCUGACAGUACUCUUUCAGCAUUUAAGCUAGUCACUCCUGCCCCUCUUCUCUUACCUAAGCCCAGCCGAUAGUUAGCGAACAGCCUUCAAAGACUAGCGAUGUAUGUCACCGAUGGGAUUACAGCCAGUUGGAGG